CUUGUACACUCCGCCCGUCACACCAUGGGAGUGGGUUCCACCAGAAGUAGGUAGCCUAACCGCAAGGGGGGCGCUUACCACGGUGAGAUUCAUGACUGGGGUG
rnacentral:rRNA from 1 species